GACAACACAGACAGUCGUGUUGCUAUGACAACAGAAAGCGAAGUGUUUCCCGGGUAACGGCAGCAGGAAGCGAUCCAGAGUGUUGUAACCGCAGUCGGUCCAGUUUCUGUCUCUCGCUUUGCGUCUUUUGAUGAUUUUCGCUUUAAAUUGAAUCCAGCUAUGCAGCCGUCCCUUCCUCGUGGUUCCAUUAGUCUGUGUGUUUACUGGGGUUUAGUCAUUCCAUUUGUCUGUGUGUUUACUGGGGUUUAGUCAUUCCAUUAGUCUGUGUGUUUACUGGGGUUUAGUCGUCGUUCCAUUUGUCUGUGUGUUUAGUGGGUUUUAGUCGUCUACUCCAGUUAAUCCCAGUCUGUGACCAUGAGGGAGGCUGCUCUGAGAAUGUAAAACAAUCAUUGUAUUUUCUCUGUCUUUCAGCACCAGAAGGAGUUUGCUUCAGAAAUGACUAACUAUGGUCUUAAAGACUCAAUUAUCCACUUCCACUUUUUACAUGCGCUGUUCAUUGUAUCAUGAUUUAAAUUGUGCAAAAGGAUACAGCUUUUAGGUGCUUUCGUUUGUUUUUAACCCUUCUGUUGUAUUCUUGUUUCAUUUUUUAAUAUAAUCUCUGUGUUGCACUUAUAAAUGGACACCAAGUCAAUAUUUUAUUCAGUCUGUAAACAGUCUAUUUAGUAGAGGAAUCUAUCGGACAACAACCCUCUCCUCAAAUCAAUCACCGGACUGGACUGGGACUACAAUCACCGGACUGGACUGGGACUACAAUCACCGGACUGGACUGGGACUACAAUCACCAGACAGGACUGGGACUACAAUCACCAGACAGGACUGGGGGGACUACAAUCACCAGACAGGACUGGGACUACAAUCACCAGACAGGACUGGGGGGGACUACAAUCACCAGACAGGACUGGGACUACAAUCACCAGACAGGACUGGGGGGGACUACAAUCACCAGACAGGACUGGGGGGACUACAAUCACCAGACAGGACUGGGGGACUACAAUCACCAGACAGGACUGGGGGGACUACAAUCACCAGACAGGACUGGGGGGACUACAAUCGCCAGACAGGACUGGGACUACAAUCACCAGACAGGACUGGGGGGGACUACAAUCACCAGACAGGACUGGGGAGGACUACAAUCACCAGACAGGACUGGGGGGGCUACAAUCGCCAGACAGGACUGGGGGGGACUACAAUCACCAGACAGGACUGGGACUACAAUCACCAGACAGGACUGGGGGGGACUACAAUCACCAGACAGGACUGAGGGACUAAUCACCAGACAGGACUGAGGGACUAAUCGCCAGACAGGACUGAGGGACUAAUCGCCAGACAGGACUGAGGGACUAAUCGCCAGAGAACACUGGGAUUCUGGGACGACAUCAAGAGAAGCAGGAUGGAUCUGUUCAGAAAUGGACGAACUACACCUCACUCUUUCAACAGAGAAACUCCGAUUCCCACAAUUCUGUCUGCUCGGAAUCCAACUCUGUCUUUUAAAGCAAACCUUCUGAAUCAUGCUGGAACUGGUUUUACCCUGUCUUGUGAAUCUGUCCCGUGUGGAUGUGUGUGGGUGGGUGGGUGUGUGGGUGGGUGCCAUGCAGGCCCUGAAGUGUGUGUCAGGGACUGUCUGUUUCAGUGUUCUGUAAGGGUGAACUCUGACCUCUGCUAUGCUCUGUAAGGGUGAACUCUGACCUCUGCUAUGCUCUGUAAGGGUGAACUCUGACCUCUGCUAUGUUAAUAUGAUGAACACUACAGGUUUGACACAAAACAAAAACAUUUUAAUAAAUGUAUCAAAACACAAUGGUGUAUUUAUUAAGAACUCAGGGUUCGGUAAUACCCUCACAGUUAAUACCUGGUAACCCUAACCCUCACAGUUAAUACCUGGUAACCCUAACCCUCACAGUUAAUACCUGGUAACCCUAACCCUCACAGUUAAUACCUGGUAACCCUAACCCUCACAGUUAAUACCUGGUAACCCUAACCCACACAGUUAAUACCUGGUAACCCUAACCCUCACAGUUAAUACCUGGUAACCCUAACCCUCACAGUUAAUACCUGGUAACCCUAACUCUCACAGUUAAUACCUGGUAACCCUAACCCUCACAGUUAAUACCUGGUAACCCUAACCCUCACAGUUAAUACCUGGUAACCCUAACCCUCACAGUUAAUACCUGGUAACCC
rnacentral:lncRNA from 8 species